AUGUGAAUCCCUUGGCUUAACCGAGGAAGGGCAUUUGAAACUGUCGGGCUUGAGUACGGGAGGGGGAAGUGGAAUUCCCGGUGUAGAGGUGAAAUUCGUAGAUAUCGGGAGGAACACCGGUGGCGAAGGCGGCUUCCUGGACCGAUACUGACGCUGAGACGCGAAAGCGUGGGGAGCAAACAGGAUUAGAUACCCUGGUAGUCCACGCCGUAAACGUUGGGCACUAGGUGUUGCGGGUAUUGACCCCUGCAGUGCCAAGGGCGAAUUCCACAGUGGAUA
rnacentral:rRNA from 1 species